AGGAAAAAAAAAAGAGAGAGACUGUUUAUUUUCUGUAUCUUUAAUUGUUCACAUCAGCGGAUUUUUUAGUUCUCUUAUCGCAAUUGUAUGCAUCACACAGUUUACAUAUUCCCACGUGGGUGUAGGUAGCCUCAGCAGCCAAUCAGAGGUUACGCAAGUCACGUUCAGCGUGUCGACACAGAGACGAGGCGCGGGUGCAGCUUCUUCCGGUUUUUUUCUAAAAUCAUAGCGAGAGAGACGGGGGUAGCUGUGUGUUAGCAAGGAGUCAAAACCAGGACAAAAUUUUGGAGGUUUGUCUAAAAGGAAAAAGAGUCGGAGCACACUUCGCCGAAGAUCCGGAGUCGUGUUAUAGAACGAAGUUACGUCGGCUAACCACUCGCCCUUUUGUCUGGGAAGUUGCCACGAGGUCCAUCAUCGUCGUGUUACACCUUGAUAUACCCGGAGCAACGGUCAGGUUUUUUUUGUAGGACGGAUGUUGUCCAGAACCAACAUCUCCAGUGAUUCUGAUGGCGAGCCAAGUCCACUGAGGAAAGUCCAGCACCGAUUUCCCUAUCCACCUGCACAUAAUAUUUACUUUACAAGUAUCUUUGGAGCAAGGUGAACUGCACAACCUCUACAGCAAAUGCACUGGAACCAAUUUUUUUUAUUUUUGUUUAAGGGCCCAACGGACAUUCUUUUAUUUUCUAGUGUGCACACUACUACUUUUAUUUUUGUAACUUUUGGGGUUUAUUUCACAUUUUGUACAAACAGGUCAACUGUGUAAACAAUAUAAGAGUGGCUACUCAACUGUACUCUUGUGUCCGUCUCAUUUUUCAAUAUCGUGGCUCCGUCGAAUUUGGUAUCUUCUGAUUCUGGUCCAGGGUCUAUUACUAGUAAAGGCUAUUAUUAUACUGUAAUUCACUUUUAUAGUGUUAAAAUUGGUUACAGCUACCCCUUUGCUGCCACCCACAGUGGUCCUGAUUGACAGCGGCCAGGAAAACACGGAAAUGGGAUGCAUUGCCCAACCACCCCCAAGUUCAGUGGCGUUCUCAAGACUUCUGUGGUGGUCCAAGAUGCUUCUGUCUUGCGCAAGGAGAUUGCUGUCCUCCUGGCAAAGGAUGCAAUCGAGCCAGUCCCUCCAGCCGAGACGAUGAUGAUGCUCCAAGAAAGAGGUGGACCUGCAUGCUUAGAAUCGGGUUCUUCACAAGCUCCUGUUCAAAAUGUUAACGCAAAAACACAUUAUCAAAUGUGUUCAGCCACAGGAUUGGUUUGCAGCGGUAGACCUGAAGGACGUGUGCUUCCGUGUCUUGAUUCUCGAGGCUCCUGGGGCAUAUGUCAUCCACAAUCGCUGUCACGCCACUCGGAUUACUCCAUAUGAGACCACUCCAGCACUAGCUUCACUUUCGAGUCUCAAGACGGGCAGAGUGCUGUGGGACACUCCAUGUGAACAUCACUCCAAGCUGUCGCCAAACCUUCAACGCAUGGUUAGACCUUGCCUUUCUAUGGGCCGGGGUGCCAGGCAUGUUGUUGUCACAACAAAUGCCUCCCCCUCGGGUUGGGGUACCACAUGCAAUGGGCAGGCAGCCUCAGGGCUCUGGACAGGGCCUCAACUACUUUGGCACAUUGACUGCCUAGAGCUGCUGGCCAUUCAUCUAGCCUUGCAACAGUUCCAGCCAGGGGUAUGGCACCUUUUGGACCCGCAUCCCAACUUAUGGACACUAUCACUCAGGCUAGGCCUCCUUCUACAAGGCACACCUACACACUGAAGUGGAGUCUGUUCGCUGAGAGGACCCCCAAAGAUGCUCAAUUGCAGUAGUGCUUUCUUUUUUUCUCCAAGAGAAGUUGAAGUGUAUGUUGUCACCCUCCACUCUGAAAGUGUAUGUGGCUGCUAUUGCAGCACAUAACGAUGCAGUAGACGGCUGGUGAAAGCACAAUCUCGUUGUAAGGUUCCUGAGGGGUGCCAGAAGGCUAAAUCCUUCUAGGUAACCCCUAGUGCCCUUUCUGGGAUCUCUCUGUUGUCCUGGCUGGCCUUUAGGGGGAUCCCUUUGAGCCGCUUGAGUCAGUCGAACUUAAGUUCCUAUUUGCUAAGGCAGUGCUCCAUAACGGUGCUCACUUCCAACAAGAGGGUUGGGGACCUCCAAGCAUUUUCAGUCAGCAAAGAGUGCCUUCUGUUCGGGCCGGCCUACUCUCACGUCGUCUUGAGACCCUGGCCUGGAUACAUGCUGAAGGUUCCAACUACGCCUUUCUCCAAUCAAAUGGUAAACCUGCAAGCACUGCCCCGGAGGAUGCAGACCCAGCUUUGACGCUGCUGUGUCCUGUAAGAGCUGUGGGUUGGGCUAGGUGGCCAUAUGGUCACCAUCCCAUAUGUGCAAUUCCAUGGUAAGAUUUCUUUACAGGUGAACUUGUGUCUUCCCUUGGCAGAUCUUCUGUCUCCACUGUCAGUCACUUCUCCCCUUCCUUAAGCAGGACCUGACGCAGAGACCUAUAUCGCAUGUUGCACUGCCCUAGCUGGGUCAGUCCAUGGGUGUCUCCACAUAUUACCUUCCUUUGUGUAGGAUGUGGUCUCUGUAGCAUCCUUCUCUGGAAGGUUUGCUUAGCCCUUCUGCCAAACUGUAACAAAUAGGGAAAUUAAAGCAUCUCUUGGUCGAAAUCCCUUCCCUUAAGAAUCUAUUUCUUAGAAACAACGGUUUAGCCUCUCCAGCAACAAUGUACUCAUUGUUGGUCCCUGUGGGUGCCAAGGUAAAUGAAUUUGCUCUGGGGCAUUGGAAAGUUUAUAACCUUGCAUAGCAUUUACCUGACACACUGUGACCUGUCAGCAAUUGUAGUCCUGUUGGUUGUGACGUGGUUCAGGUUGUGUUGCAUAUGGUUUUGCAUAUGGACCCCAGUCUGUUGUCACAACAUAAUUUGUAGUGACUUACAGACAGGGAACGUCUCGGUUAUGUAUGUAACCCUUAUUCCCUGAUUGAGGGAGCGGAGAUGUUAUGUCCCCUUGCCACAACUUUGAACCAUCACUGGGGGGACCAGGGACCUGGGCUCCUCAGCAAAACCUGACGAGUGGUUAUACCUGUCACCUAUUUAUACCCAUGUGAUGGGGAGUGUCAGGAUUAGUUUACCACUUUUUCAGUUUUUCAGCGUUUUCAGUUAAUCAUAGCUAAUAAGGGUUUCAAGCAAGACCCCAAUAUGUCGUCACAACAUAGUGUCUCCUUUCUCUUCAUCAGGGAACAAGGGUUGCAUAUGUAACUGAGGCGUUUCCUAUCAGUUGUGUUUUUUGUUUCUUUAUGAUUUUUAAAUUCUGAAUGUUGUGUGUUGAGUAAGCUGUAAAAUCCACAAAAUAACACCUGAUUCACUAACCACUGAAAACCUGCAGGUAUAUUGUGAAAUUCCCUUUUUACUGUCAAAUAAAAUACAUUUAAUAUGUUUAUUAGGGCUUACAUUUAGAUAAAUAUCACUUGUCUUUUUUUCAGAGCCAUCUGGUAAUAGAUCUGCUGUUAUGUACAAAUGAAUCUAAAAGCUUAUGUUACACGUUGCUUAUGUGUGCUCUUGUUUGAUGUUGUUUGGUGUCAUUUAUUAAUUUCCUGCACUUAGAGCCAUGUUUCUGUCUGCUACGUUGCAAUAAAAACUGCUAAAGAAA